GUAGUGUACUUUGUCAGUAGUAAGAGAUAGCACCAUAGAUCGGCAUGCUUUAGGUGUGCGAUCUUGAUCAAUCGAUAUGAUAUUUGUCCUAAAGGGCAAACUCUAGAAGUGUCAGUUCCUCUUCUUGCUAGAGAAGAGGUAUCCAAAAAACUUCACUUAAAUGCUAGCUCGGAUGGAGAAGUAUGCUAAUGCUGAAGAAACCUACAACCUACAUGGGACCC
rnacentral:lncRNA from 1 species